AACUCAUUGAUAAUAUUGUCAGUGGGUCUAGUCCAAUAAAAACAUAUCUUAACUUGUAGACCAGUGAUCUCAAGUUCAAACUUCCAUAACACAUUAGUAUUGCAAAUCUUUCAGAGCUUUGAUUAGUCUAGCUUUGCUUUCCAAAAUUCUAAUGGAUGAUUCAUUGCAAAUAUGCAGAGAAAAAAUUAUAGUUAAAUAUAUAUCCUUGAUCACAAUCUAGCUCCAAUAAGAGAAAGAACCCUCCAAUCUGAUUAAAGGGAGGCAUUCACAUAUACUACACAGUUUCAGAAAAGAAGAAGUAAAAAAUGGAAAAUAAAAU
rnacentral:lncRNA from 1 species